UUUUUUAAAAGAUUUAUUUAUUAUAUAUAAGUACACUGUUGCUGUCUUCAGACACACCAGAAGAGGGUGUCAGAUCUCAUUAUGGGUGUUUGUGAGCUACCAUGUUGUUGCUGGGAUUUGAACUCAGGACCUUUAGAAGAGCAAUCAGUGCUUUUACCUGCUUAGCCAUCUCACCAGCUCCUAUAUUAAGAUUCUUAACAGCAAAAUUAAAGUUAUGAAGUAGCAACACCACAAGAUGAGGAAGUUUUUAAGAUUUAAUUAUUUUAUGUGAAUACACUGUAGCUGUCUUCAGACACAUCAGAAGAGAGUAUUAGAUCCUAUUACAGAUGGUUGUAAGCCACCAUGUGGUUGCUGGGAAUUGAACUCAGGACCUCUGGAAGAGGUGUCAGUGCUCCUAACCUCUGAGCCUUCUCUUCAGCCCAAGGAACUAGGAAUUAGGAAGGUUAAGAACCACUGGUCUAAAGAAGAAUUUUUUUAAAGACUUAUUUAUUAUAUGUAAGUACACUGUAGCUGCCUUCAGAUGUGCCAGAAGAGGACAUCAGAUCUCAUUACAGAUAUUUGUGAACCACCAUGUGGUUGCUGGGAUUUGAACUCAGGACCUUUGGAAGAGCAGUCAGUGCUCUUAACUGCUGAGCCAUCUCUCCAGCCCCAGAAGAAUUUUUAUAGCUUAAUUAUUUUCAUGCUUUUGUAUGUGAUAAUUUACCAUGCUUACAUUGAAAAACCAAAAGCAAUGAGAUGAACUGAAGUAGAUUUAGAUUGGUUUCAGCAGUUGCUGUCAAGAAUCCCCUACAUACAUGAAAAUGCUUAUACAACCAUCUUAACAAUCCAAAACCACAAAGGAGGCUACAAUGAAAGCAAAGGGAAAACUUUUAAUUAAACAAAGGGGGCCAGAUAUGGUGUUGCACACCUUUAAUUCCAAUACUUGGGAGAUGGAAGUAGGUGGAGCUCUGUGAGUUCAAAGCCAGACUGUUUUACAUAGUGAGAUCCUGUCUGAACCUCCAUCCUCUAAAAAGGCCAAUGAAAUGGAGAGAUGUCUGCAGCCAAGCCUGAUGACCUAAGGUCUAUCUAUCUCCAGGACCCACAUGGGAGAAGGAGAGAACAGAUUCCCAUAAAUUAUCCUCCAACCUACACACACACACACACACACACACACACAAAUAGAUAAAU
rnacentral:lncRNA from 1 species